CGGCACCACGCGCUCUGCCUAUGGCUCUGCGAAUGCCGGCGAAGUUACACAAGGGAAAUCUAAAGCUCCCAGCACAGCCGAGGGUACAGGACCCACAAGACCCACACAAAAAGAUGCCCACUUUCUCGUGGGCUGAGGAAGGCUGACAUGCAAACACUGAUUGUUGGCUCUAACUCACCUUCAGGCACCAAAGCCUGCAUUCUGAGCUCCAACAAGCCCCACA
rnacentral:lncRNA from 1 species